UACGGAGGGUGCAAGCGUUGUCCGGAAUUAUUGGGCGUAAAGAGCUCGUAGGCGGUCUGUUACGUCGGCUGUGAAAACCUGGGGCUCAACCCCGGGCCUGCAGCCGAUACGGGCAGACUAGAAUUCGGUAGGGGAGACUGGAAUUCCUGGUGUAGCGGUGGAAUGCGCAGAUAUCAGGAGGAACACCGGUGGCGAAGGCGGGUCUCUGGGCCGACAUUGACGCUGAGGAGCGAAAGCGUGGGGAGCGAACAGG
rnacentral:rRNA from 1 species